rnacentral:lncRNA from 1 species
UUGGCCUCCCAGAGCGCUGGGAUUACAGGCGUGAGCUACCACAACCGGCCAAUACUCGGUUCUUCUAAGUAGGAAGAAAGUAACAUUUUGCUACCUAAUUUCUUGGCCUUUCAAGCCCACCCUGGACUAAGGCCCUGAGGUACUCAUGAUGGCUGAGCAGGAAGGGCCUGCUAUUGUCAUAAAGGGGAACCAAGGUCCAUGGCGGAAAAAGGUGGUUUAUCCUUAAAAGGGUGUUCUCUGUGAGUGACACUCCAAAGCACCUUCACUAACCCAUCUGGGUCCCCACAGUGUGAGGUAGGACAGGGUUGCUUCUGUCUCCCUCUGCCAGGCUUUCCUGGGGAAUUUUAAAGGGACAAAUUCUCUUCCCAGGAUUGGGGGUGGAGGGAACCCAGGAGCUAUAGGCACCUGUAAACCCAAUUUAAAAAUCAGUCUAGCCAACCAGCCCCCAAAGGAACCAGAGGGAGCUAUAGAGUAACUCAAAAGCAGACACUAAUGGAGGAGAAAAGAAAUGUAGUUACAUAUUCAUGAGCUUUUAAAUAUUCAUGAGGAUUGUAAAGCAGAUUAAUUUUCAUGCCUCAUUUCUCCCGAGGUUCCCGCUGUCCAUAUUUUACCACAGCAAGAGAAGAAGAGGGAGCGAUGGAUCACCUGGCCACUGCCCUUACCAUCACUUAAGGAGCAGCAUGCGGUGAAGAGAGAAGAAAGAGGACCUUUACCAGAGUCAGCAGGAGCUCCACCUCCACUCCCCUCAACUCAUGGUCUAGAUGAAUGAUUGAGUGAGGUGAGGGAGCGGAGGAGAGGGCAUGCAGAGGGGCGGAGAGGCAUGAAAGACACCGAAGGACAAAGGGAAGGGGCAAGAAACAGAGGCGGACAGAAGCCAUGGGCGAGGAGAAAGCAAAAGGGAGGCAUCCCCUUCUGACCAUGAAGGGUUAACCGCUGUAGAAAUUGCCCAUCUACCCAGCACUUUGGGAGGCCACGGCGAGCGAUCACCUGAGGUCAGGAGUUCGAGAUCAGCCCAGCCAACAUGGUGAAACCCUGUCUCUACUAAAAAUACAAAAAUUAGCCAGGUGUGGUAGUGCUCGCCUGUAAUUUCAGCUACCUGGGAGGCUGAGGCAGGAGGAUGGCAUGAACCCGGGAGGCGUUGCAGUGAGCUGAGAUUGAGCCAUUGUACUCCAGCCUGGGUGACAAGAGUGAGAUUCUGGCUCAAAAAAAAAAAAAAAAAGGACAAAGAAACUAUUCAUCUAAUGCAAACAACUGAACACUGGAUGAAAUAUAGGGCUUGGUGUGAUGGCUCACGCUUAUAAUCCCAGCACUUCGGGAG